UACGAGGGGGGCAAAUGUUGUUCGGAAUCACUGGGCGUAAAGGGAGCGUAGGCGGGUUUCUAAGUCAGGUGUUUAAUCUCGGGGCCCAACCCCGGACAGGCACUUGAAACUGGGAAUCUUGAAUAGUGGAGAGGUCAGUGGAAUUGGGGGUGUAGCGGUGGAAUGCGUAGAGAUCCCCAAGAACACCAGUUGCGAAGGCGGCUGACUGGACACAUAUUGACGCUGAGGCUCGAAAGCAUGGGGAGCAAACAGG
rnacentral:rRNA from 1 species